UACGUAGGGGGCGAGCGUUGUCCGAAGUUACUGGGCGUAAAGCGCGCGUAGGCGGCCACUUAAGUCUGGGGUGAAAGGUUCAGCGCUCAACGCGAACAGUGCCUUGGAUCCUGGGUGGCUUGAGUCUGGGAGAGGGUAGUGGAAUUCCUGGUGUAGCGGUGAAAUGCGUAGAUAUCAGGAGGAACACCGGUGGCGAAGGCGGCUACCUGGCCUAAGACUGACGCUGAGGUGCGAAAGCGUGGGGAGCGAACGGG
rnacentral:rRNA from 1 species